AUUGGAUUAGAAAACCACCGCGUUGGGUACGUCUAAAAUGCCACGCGGCUCACUGGAUCUAAAAUGCCACGUGGUUUGUUUACUAGCUGCAAUC